GAUGAACGCUGGCGGCGUGCCUAAUACAUGCAAGUAGAACGCUGAAGGAGGAGCUUGCUCUUCUGGAUGAGUUGCGAACGGGUGAGUAACGCGUAGGUAACCUGCCUGGUAGCGGGGGAUAACUAUUGGAAACGAUAGCUAAUACCGCAUGACAACAGUUAUUGCAUGAUAACUGUUUAAAAGGGGCAACUGCUCCACUACCAGAUGGACCUGCGUUGUAUUAGCUAGUUGGUGAGGUAACGGCUCACCAAGGCGACGAUACAUAGCCGACCUGAGAGGGUGAUCGGCCACACUGGGACUGAGACACGGCCCAGACUCCAACGGGAGGCAGCAGUAGGGAAUCUUCGGCAAUGGACGGAAGUCUGACCGAGCAACGCCGCGUGAGUGAAGAAGGUUUUCGGAUCGUAAAGCUCUGUUGUAAGAGAAGAACGAGUGUGAGAGUGGAAAGUUCACACUGUGACGGUAUCUUACCAGAAAGGGACGGCUAACUACGUG
rnacentral:rRNA from 1 species